UUUUCGGAAAGGGGAGUCGAACUGAUCAUCCGUCAGCGCCGGGGAAGAUGGUGCAAAGCCAUCACGGUGCCGCCACUGUAAGCGGGGAGCGACGCUGCACGAUGCCACUGUGCGGGUUCACGCAUGGGAAGGCGCAGGGGAGCGACGAGCCGCGAGUCAGGAGACCCGUCUGACGGACCAACUCAACC
rnacentral:ncRNA from 1 species